GAAAAAUUUUAAUAAGAAGAAAAUCUGAUGGAAGAAGAAAAACCAUGCAGGCCUUCAGCCUCCAUACCUACAUGGAUGGGAGUCCAAAAGGAGAAGCAAGUGUGACAAAGACUCUUCAUUUCCCUUUGGGCACGCCAGGCAUCAUCCCUAUGUGUAGCAGCUACUUCAAAUUUUUGAGAAAUAUCAAUGGAUGUGGUGGGACAGCAUGCUCUGGUGUUCAAGUCAAGGGGAUGCGACAGAUGUAAAUAAAAUAUAAUCAAAUAUUUUGGGAUCACUGUGGCUGUACACACUGCUUGCUGUUUCCUGAGAUGGCAACCUAUCUUCUGUCAUCAAGGUCUAGACAAGGUCUACACUUAAUUCAAGUUUAUGGCAAAAAAUAAUCUUAAGAAAAAUGACACCAAACUGCAUAAAUCUUGAUUUCAAAUUAAUGUUUGUGGAGGAAGGGAGUAUGGUACAGAAGAACUUCAUGGCACAUGGUCUUUUUCAACCAAUAAUGUACUUCUUACAUGGUUAUUUCUUCUGAUCAAUUACAGAUUGCAUGGGACAGCUGAUGAAAUGAAAGAGGAGUUAAAGGCAUACAUUACAUCUUCAUUUUCCUCUGUCAGUGGAACAGUGAAACUCCUUAGUUUUUCAUGCAUAUUAUCUUCAUUAUAUAGGAUGCUACCUGGUUUGGGGGGGGGGUUUAACCACUCCAUUUUGAGAAACUUUACUUUCCCCUGCCCAGGGAAAGUAAUUUGUAAAUAACACCUUAGCACUUAAAGAACAUUUUUCAUCUUUGAUGCUGGUAAAGCACGUUAAAAAAGGAUAGUGAGCAUCUUUGUCAUAUAGGCAGAAGAUCUGCAGCAGAAAAAGGUUAAAUGGCUUGCCAGAAGGCACACAGAAAAGCAGAAGUAGGAGUGGAAGACAACCACACACAAGUCCAAGGAUAGUUUCUGUCCGUUAGUCAGUACUAUAGUUCUGAAAGGUAGGAAUAAGUACUACACAAGCUGUUCUCUGCAAGAUGUCUUUUCAUAACACGGCUAAGUUUGGCUCUCAUUGCUCUCCCUCCUGCUUAGCUGAUACAGUUUCAACUUUUUUAACCAUUUGUGACAAGAGCUAACCUGAACGUCUAUAGAAAUUGCUAGUUUAAGGAGCUUGUACUGAUGUUAUUAAUAAAAGAAGAAUUUGGAA